UACGUAGGGGGCAAGCGUUGUCCGGAAUUAUUGGGCGUAAAGAGCGCGUAGGCGGUCCGAUAAGUCGGCUGUGAAAGUCCAGGGCUCAACCCUGGAAAGCCGGCCGAUACUGUCGGACUAGAGUCCGGAAGAGGCGAGUGGAAUUCCCGGUGUAGUGGUGAAAUGCGCAGAUAUCGGGAGGAACACCAAUGGCGAAGGCAGCUCGCUGGGACGGUACUGACGCUGAGGCGCGAAAGCUAGGGGAGCAAACGGGG
rnacentral:rRNA from 1 species